rnacentral:rRNA from 1 species
GACGAACGCUGGCGGCGUGCCUAACACAUGCAAGUCAACUUGACUGAAGGAGCAAUCUGACAGUAGAGUGGCGCAAGGGUGCGUAACGCGUAAGUAACUUGCCCCAAGGUAAGGAAUAACGUCGAGAAAUCGGCGCUAAUACCUCAUAAUGCAGCGGAUCCGCAUGGAUAUGUUGUUAAAGGUUUACCGCCUUGGGAUAGGCUUGCGUCUGAUUAGCUAGUUGGUGUGGUAACGGCACACCAAGGCUACGAUCAGUAACUGGUCUGAGAGGAUGAUCAGUCACACUGGAACUGAGACACGGUCCAGACUCCUACGGGAGGCAGCAGUGAGGAAUAUUGGGCAAUGCUCGAAAGAGUGACCCAGCAACGCCGCGUGGAGGAUGAAGGUAUUCUAUAUCGUAAACUCCUGUGAGAGCAGACGAAAGACAGAUUAUUAAUCUGGAUGACUGUAUGCUCAGAGGAAGCCCCGGCUAACUACGUG